GACGAACGCUGGCGGCGUGCUUAACACAUGCAAGUCGAACGGAAAGGCCCUGCUUUUGUGGGGUGCUCGAGUGGCGAACGGGUGAGUAACACGUGAGUAACCUGCCCUUGACUUUGGGAUAACUUCAGGAAACUGGGGCUAAUACCGGAUAGGAGCUCCUGCUGCAUGGUGGGGGUUGGAAAGUUUCGGCGGUUGGGGAUGGACUCGCGGCUUAUCAGCUUGUUGGUGGGGUAGUGGCUUACCAAGGCUUUGACGGGUAGCCGGCCUGAGAGGGUGACCGGCCACAUUGGGACUGAGAUACGGCACAGACUCCUACGGUAGGCAGCAGUGGGGAAUAUUGCACAAUGGGCGGAAGCCUGAUGCAGCAACGCCGCGUGCGGGAUGACGGCCUUCGGGUUGGAAACCGCUUUCGCCUGUGACGAAGCGUGAGUGACGGUAAUGGGUAAAGAAGCACCGGCUAACUACGUG
rnacentral:rRNA from 1 species